UACGGGGGGUGCGAGCGUUGUUCGGAUUGAUUGGGCGUAAAGAGCGCGUAGGCGGGCUUGUAAGUCGAUUGUGAAAUCCCCAGGCUUAACCUGGGAACUGCAGUCGAAACUGCUAGUCUUGAAUGUUCGAGAGGUUGGUGGAAUUCCAGGUGUAGAAGUGAAAUUCGUAGAUAUCUGGAGGAACACCGGCGGCGAAGGCGGCCAACUGGCGAAACAUUGACGCUGAGGCACGAAAGCGUGGGGAGCAAACAGG
rnacentral:rRNA from 1 species